rnacentral:rRNA from 1 species
CCUACGGGUGGCAGCAGUGGGGAAUAUUGCACAAUGGGCGCAAGCCUGAUGCAGCCAUGCCGCGUGUGUGAAGAAGGCCUUCGGGUUGUAAAGCACUUUCAGCGGGGAGGAAGGCGGUGAGGUUAAUAACCUCAUCGAUUGACGUUACCCGCAGAAGAAGCACCGGCUAACUCCGUGCCAGCAGCCGCGGUAAUACGGAGGGUGCAAGCGUUAAUCGGAAUUACUGGGCGUAAAGCGCACGCAGGCGGUCUGUCAAGUCGGAUGUGAAAUCCCCGGGCUCAACCUGGGAACUGCAUUCGAAACUGGCAGGCUAGAGUCUUGUAGAGGGGGGUAGAAUUCCAGGUGUAGCGGUGAAAUGCGUAGAGAUCUGGAGGAAUACCGGUGGCGAAGGCGGCCCCCUGGACAAAGACUGACGCUCAGGUGCGAAAGCGUGGGGAGCAAACAGGAUUAGAUACCCGUGUAGUC